rnacentral:snoRNA from 1 species
UUGGAUGACGACCCUUGCCCAGUCUGAGCUGUGAUGACGUCGGUAUUAGCUGACAG